rnacentral:lncRNA from 1 species
GGAAAAGCUUUGGGCGCGCGUGGGAACAGUUUAGGCGCGCGCGGGAAGGGUUUGUAAUAAAGAACCCGGAAAUGUGCCGUCUUGUCUCCGCUUUGCGGAGAUCAAGCAACAGAGGUCGGCUAAUUCCGGGCCUCAUGGCUCCGGACAACAACUGAAGAAGGAAAGAGCUUGAAGAACUUGCUCAGACUACAAACGAGAACCAAAAUAAAAUUGCACAGCGUCAUUUCUGGUGUGAGGAGAAAAGACUGAACCUUCUGGAGAACAUCAGAGAUUUCCCAGGACCCCAUUUUUAAUUCUGAGAAGUGAGCUUGGCAUCAUCGGGUGUCCAGUUAUCAAAAAGCAGUGAUUCCCUUCCCUCCCCUACCUCACCCUGUGAUCACAUGGCUUCCAGCUCAUUGAUCCCUGGAAGAAAGACACAUUCCAUAGAUUUGGGGAUCAACAGAGAAGAGCCCUGCUCUGCUGUGGGAUCUCAGCUGUAUCUACCCCGCAAGUUGCUGUCAGUAAAGACCCCUUCUGGGGGCACAUCAGAGGGGAAAAGUGUGAGCAGGGGUGCUUGUUCUUGGUGAAAUCAGCAUUUCCAGUUAUCGUGUAAAAAUGCCUUCAGAAAAGACAAGCUGUCCAAGGGAAAUAGUCUCAAGGAUUUUCAGUUCUGGAAAUUUAUCCCCCAUUCCCUCCCUUGCAAAGUCCUGAGGGCUGCUCUUUCCAAGAUGAUGUGGACCUGGAUAGAUUUUGGCUAAGGGCUGGCUUGAAUGCUCUGUGCUGAAGGGAUCCAGCUGUCUUCCUCUGGGCCUCCAUAUCCUGCUUGUUGCAGUAGAAAUGAGAUCAUUGUCCCUAAGACAAAACAAUAAGGAGGAAACCCAGGCCCACAGAGCUGAUGGACCUCAGAGCAUCAUCUGGAAAGUACUGAAGUAUUGCUAUCCAGCCCUUGAAGAACAUGUGCAUGUUGUAAUUGCACAAAUUCAUUGGAAAACAAUAGUAAUAAUAAAGGUAAAAUUAAGCACUCACCACCAAUGGUGCAAAUCCCAUAACUGCUAUUUUUCUGUUUCAGUGGUCAUUUCCUUGUGAGGCUGUGUGGUUAUUCAUUUAACCAAUCCUCUGUUGUUG